rnacentral:rRNA from 1 species
UACGAAGGGUGCAAGCGUUACUCGGAAUUACUGGGCGUAAAGCGUGCGUAGGUGGUUUGUUAAGUCUGAUGUGAAAGCCCUGGGCUCAACCUGGGAAUUGCAUUGGAUACUGGCAGGCUAGAGUGCGGUAGAGGAUGGCGGAAUUCCCGGUGUAGCAGUGAAAUGCGUAGAGAUCGGGAGGAACAUCUGUGGCGAAGGCGGCCAUCUGGACCAGCACUGACACUGAGGCACGAAAGCGUGGGGAG